AUGUAUGCAGCAGAAAAGUUUGCUAACCUUUUAAAUGGUAAGUUUGCUAACAGUUGGGCACACUAAGUUGAGCAAAUUUCCAUCAGACAAACAGUAAAUGUGCCAUUUGCCGUGCUUAUUGCUUACAGUCUCAAUGAAAUGUAGGGAACAUCAGUCUCUGAAAUCGUGUGCUUUAAAGGACUUAGAAGAUGACCUGUGGACUGUCUUGUAUUUUCCUUUUUUUUAUUUUGGCUUCCUUGCCUGAUUGCACACUUCACCAUGGAGGCAUUCUGGGGGGUUAAUUGAUUGAUCUGUAUGAUUGCUGGAUUCUGCUUCACUAUCAAUGAAUCCGUCCUGCACAGAAACUGUUGAUCAUGUUCCUAUCCCUGUUACAAAUAGUAGCAGCAUGGUCUUUUCUUUCUUUUUCUCUCUAUUCUAAUCUCUUUCCUUUCUACUGUCCAUCAUUUCCCUGAUAUCUGUCAAAACACUAAACCACAGUCAUCACUCAAACUUGUCUCAGGCGUAACCACCUUAACAGAGAUUUACACCUUUCUUUUUCCUGCCAGAGUUUACUGUUUUUGUCUUCUAUAGUUUGUUUCACUGGCAAACCAUCUCAAGAAUGACCGUCCAGGUGCUCUGACCUGUAUGUUGAUUGUUGUGUUUACUGUGGCCUUUCUUGGAGAUGAAGUUACCUGGCUGAAGGAGCACAGGCAAAGGAACAUCAGCAUGCCUAGCAGGGUGAAGUGGUUCUUGUCUACCGUGGUCCUUAGAGGGGCUUCACGUCACAGACUUGGCCACUACAAACAGGGUGCUCCAAAGCUCAAAGAUUAGAUUCCCCCCAAAAGUAGCUAGCAUGGUCUUGACACCAGUAAACCUGGUUUCAGGCUUGAAAUACAGAUGUUUUUAGUUAAAGGAAAAAGCAAAUUUAAUUGCAGGUUAGUUUUGGUAUCAAGGGUGUAUGUUUGUCUCUAGAAAAAAAAUCUUAUUUUAAAGCGUAGCUGCGAUGCAAUAUGUUUGAAAAAAAUUGGGGGGGGGAACUUUGUUAGCUUGUUCGAUGUGUUUUUACAUUCCUGUUUGGUUACAUACAGUACAUUGAAACCUGCACCUUUUUAACACUUGAAAUUAUCCAAGCCUUCCUGGACAACUGAGGGCGCUACUGCUGCGAAGUCCAGUCUGAUAAAGGGUCUGAUAAAGGGAUUAAUGCUUGCUUAUUGCUAUCAAUGAAAGACAAAAAUGAAUCAGUAAAAGACGAGAAAUUUGUGUCCAGCAAAAUCUACAAAAAUAAAGGACUUCUUUUGAGUACAAACGAUCCAUCAUUGAGGCUUUCUUCCUGGAAUGACGUUACACUUUUACUAUGAAUAUGGAAAUCCUCAUUAGCAUAAAAACCUAAUAGACAGUAAAUUACCCUUUGGAAUACUGAAAGGAAAGCCAGAAAUCAGGUUCAUUGAGAAAAAAGGAUGCAUUUCAAAGGUUGUAUUCAAACAAAUUGAUUGCAGCUACCCUUCAAGUUGGUUUCCAAACGUUAUCAUUUAGUUUACAAUAUAAUCAGUAUUUUGCAUUCUGAGCAUUAGAUUGCACAAAAUCAUAAUUAUGCCUUUAGCCGCUGUGUAUAAAUGUAGAUAGAUUAGAACUCUUUUGAAACCUCAAAGCUUUAAAAAAGCGGGGUAUUUCUCGAAGAUUUUAAUUUUUUUUUCUCCCAAUUGAUAUUCCAAGUUACAAGUAGCUCGAACAAGAGGCUUGUUAUUACCAAAUCGUCACAAUUUUCACGAAGAGACAAUUCAACCCAAAAUCAUGAUUUUUUUUCAAGUUUUUUUUGGCAAAAUCAACUAGGCUUUGCAAUGCCUACAACUUAAUGUAAUCAUUUUUUACCAAACCUACUGAAAUCACCCAAAUCACGUUUAUCUCUGUGAGGUAAUAUUCAACUAAACUGCAUUCUUAGUUUUCACAAAGAGACAAUUUUGUCUUCCAUAGAUGUAACGUUGGCAAAAAGAUCAAAACCAUGGGCAAAACUGGUUUUGCAGUUUUCACGAAGAGACAAUUUGACUCCAGCCAAUGAAUACAAAUGUAACAAUGUUGCACCUGGCACACACGCUAUAGCGAGAGCGUGUACUGUUUGUUGAGUUUUCACAAAGAGACAAUUUUAAGCACGAAUUUUAGGAUUUCACGAACAAACAAUCCUGUUUGUUUACAAAAUGAACAACUUUAAUUAACCUCUACAAAUAUAAGUUUUGUAGUUUUGUGUCAUGUGACAUCCCCUCUUUCAUGGUGUAGCAUUGGUGAAUUUAAAGGAAUGCUAAAGUCUAUGAAAUUAAGCGUUUGAAAAAGAGACCAACUUCAAAUGCGAUUUUCUCAAAACCUAUGUUUUGCAAUCCAAUGAGAAAAUUGCCUCUUCGUGAAAACUGACAAAAUUUUCUCUGAGAUGCCUCUGAUCGAAAGAAAUUUCCAUGUCCGCAGGAUCUUUCUCAAAGUGAUGUUACAUUACGCCAGUUGAUUUUUGUACAUAAUAUUAAAAUUAAUAUUUUGAAGUAGUUGUAUAGAAGUACUUGAUUGACAUACAGAUUUAUAUUAAACUGAAUUCAUCAAAAUAUUUAUCAAUCAGUUUCUACCCUCAUGGAUAUACUGUCUCUCUGCAUAUUCAAAUUGUUUAUUUAAAUAUAUGCAGAUUAGCUGUGUCCUCUGACCUUUUUGAAAUUGCGCAAUCCUAACCUUUAAAUAUAAGUUCCGAAAUGUUUUCUAUCA